CGCCGAACACGCUGCAGCAGGGAGCUCGGCAGGGCGGUGGCCUGAAGAACGGGCAGAGGGAUGAGUGCAGGGGGAGAGCCAAGGGCUGCUCGCGCCCAAAGGCCGACGGCCAUGGAUCCAGAGCACCCUGCGACCACCAUGGGAGACGAGCAGAAGACUCGCGCGAGCUGGAAGAGGAAGGGAGGGCGCGCGUCAGGGAGAUGGAGCGCCAGGAACAGACGCGCCAUGCCUGGGAGCUUGGAGAGGGAGACGGCCAGGGAGCUGUGAACCGAAGGAAGGAAAUCCGGGCACGCGACGGAAUUCAGCCGGGCGCCAUGAGAGCCGUGCGCACGUGGGAGAUCCGGCGAGCUGCAGGUUCUCUGUCGACCGCAUCGUGGCUAUGUCCUGCGGCGCCACAGGCUUCG
rnacentral:misc_RNA from 1 species